rnacentral:rRNA from 1 species
CAAUAGCGUAUAUUUAAGUUGUUGCAGUUAAAAAGCUCGUAGUUGGAUUUCGGGUGGGACGCAGCGGUCUCGCAUUGCGUUUGUACUGCUGCAGCCCUCCUUCUUGCCGGGGGCGGCCUCUCGGACUUCACUGUCUGGGGGUCAGAAUCGGCGAUGUUACUUUGAGUAAAUUAGAGUGUUCGAAGCAAGCUUACGCUCUGAAUAUAAUAGCAUGGGAUAACACGACAGGACUCUGGCCUAUCGUGUUGGUCUAUAGGACCAGAGUAAUGAUUAAGAGGGACAGUCGGGGGCAUUCGUAUUCCGUUGUCAGAGGUGAAAUUCUUGGAUUUACGGAAGACGAACAUCUGCGAAAGCAUUUGCCAAGGAUGUUUUCAUUGA